CAUUAGUAUGACAGAUGCUGGUGAUUCUUUCAUUGCCCUCCAGACUGUGCUUUGGUAAUCAUCCAUUAAAAUUUUGAUGUACACAGCUGACAUGGCAAACACAUAGAUGCAAAGAAGAGUUGCUGAAGAAACAAACAUGAANNNNNNNNNNUAACGGUAGUUGCGCAAACCAAUGCAUUGUCCCACCCAAGGGCAAUGAUGAUCAAAUCGUU
rnacentral:misc_RNA from 1 species